ACAAUGAUACUUCCGUCUUGACAUAUUUACAUGGGGCGGCCCGAGGAGAUCCUUCGGGAGGCUUAGAGGCCUAUGA
rnacentral:ncRNA from 2 species